GCAGCAUAGACAGGCUCGGCGCCUACAUAGGAUUCCCUGCCUGGCUACUAAAAACAGCUGGAAGCACCUAAAUUUCAUAAAAGACAUUCUGAGAAGACCAGUAUGAGCAGAGAUAAUGCUCCCCCUUGGAGAAGGGGAUGAAAGUGGAAGAGCCUUUAAAGAAUACCUGCCUUAAUCCGUGGUUGCUCAGGAGAGCAGAGGGAGUCUACACAAGAUUUGUUUGGUAUCUGAGCAACCAGUUUCUAAAGCAUCAAAUCCCAAAAAGGAGGCAGGAAAGACUUCUUUUGAUUCUGGAACAAAAGACUUCCGAAUACCCUCCCAGCUCUGUGUCCUUGGUUUGGUACAGUACAGUGCCACUUCCCAUGCAUGAACUGCAAAUGCUGAAAGGUGAAUAA
rnacentral:lncRNA from 1 species